GACGAACGCUGGCGGCGUGCUUAACACAUGCAAGUCGAACGGAAAGGCCCGGCGCUUGUGGGGUGCUCGAGUGGCGAACGGGGGAGUAACACGUGAGUAACCUGCCCUUGACUUUGGGAUAACUUCAGGAAACUGGGGCUAAUACCGGAUAGGAGCUCCUGCUGCAUGGGGGGGGUUGGUGAGAGUCGGCGGUUGGGGAUGGAUUCGCGGCUUAUCAGCUGGUUUGUGGGGUAGUGGCGUACAAAGGCUUUGACGGGUAGCCGGCCUGAGAGGGUGACCGGCGACCUUGGGCCUGAGAUACGGCCCAGACGCCUACGGGACGCAGCAGUGGGGAAUCUUGCGCAAUGGGCGGAAGCCUGAUACAGCAACGUCGCGUGCGUGAUAACCGGCUUCGGGUUGUAAACCGAUUUCGCCGGAGCCGAACAGUGCGUGACGGUACUGGGUAAAGAAGCCACGGCUAACUACGUG
rnacentral:rRNA from 1 species